GUUGUUAACCGCUUUUCCCCGGGAAGAAUAACCCCGACGCGUCGGGGGAUGCCGGUACCGGGGGAAUAAGGAUCGGCUAACUCCGUGCCAGCAGCCGCGGUAAUACGGAGGAUCCGAGCGUUAUCCGGAUUUACUGGGUUUAAAGGGUGCGUAGGCGGCCCUGCAAGUCAGCGGUGAAAUGUGGCGGCUCAACCGUUUCGCUGCCGCUGAUACUGUGGGGCUUGGAUGCGGUCGAGGCGGGUGGAAUUCGUGGUGUAGCGGUGAAAUGCAUAGAUAUCACGAGGAACGCCGAUAGCGAAGGCAGCUCGCCGGGCCGCGAUCGACGCUGAGGCACGAAAGCGUGGGGAUCAAACAGGAUUAGAUACCCUGGUAGUCCACGCCGUAAACGAUGAUGGCUGGGUGUGCGCCCGCGAGGGCGCGUGCCUGAGGGAAACCAUUAAGCCAUCCACCUGGGGAGUACGGCCGCAAGGCUGAAACUCAAAGGAAUUGACGGGGGCCCGCACAAGCGGAGGAACAUGUGGUUUAAUUCGAUGAUACGCGAGGAACCUUACCUGGGCUCGAACGCUUCUGGAAUCACGCCGAAAGGCGUGAGCCGGCAACGGCCGGGAGCGAGGUGCUGCAUGGUUGUCGUCAGCUCGUGCCGUGAGGUGUCGGGUUAAGUCCCAUAACGAGCGCAACCCCUACCGCCAGUUGCCAGCGGGUGAAGCCGGGGACUCUGACGGGACUGCCGGCGUAAGCCGAGAGGAAGGCGGGGAUGAUGUCAAAUCAGCACGGCCCUUACGUCCAGGGCUACACACGUGUUACAAUGGCCGGUACAGAGGGAGGCGACCCCGCGAGGGGGAGCGGAUCCCGAAAGCCGGUCGUAGUUCGGAUCGGGGUCUGGAACCCGACCCCGUGAAGCCGGAUUCGCUAGUAAUCGCGCAUCAGCCAUGGCGCGGUGAAUAAGUUCCCGGGCCUUGUACUCACCGCCCGUCAAGCC
rnacentral:rRNA from 1 species